rnacentral:ribozyme from 13 species
AAGGAAAGGGAAAAAAAAAAAGGAAGAAAGAGAGGAAAAAAGAAAAAAGACAAAGACAAAGUUUUAUUGUGGUUGUGUGUUGUGUGUUGUGUUUUUUUGUGUGUUGUUUUUUUUUUGUGUGUUUGUGUGAGGGGUUUUUUUUUUGAGUUGUGUGUUAUGUUGUGGGAAUUGAAUUAGGAAUGUAAAUUAUCGCAAAUAUC